rnacentral:rRNA from 1 species
UUUCCGGUUGAUCCCGCCGGACCUGACUGCUAUCGGAUUGAUACUAAGCCAUGCUAGUCUUUGUAGUAAUACAAGGCAUACGGCUCAGUAACGCGUAGUCAACCUACCCUAUGGACGGGGAUAAUCUCGGGAAACUGAGCAUAAUACCCGGCAGACCACUUAUCCUGGAAUGGUUAGUGGUUAAAAUGAUUCGUCGCCAUAGGAUGGGACUGCGGCCUAUCAGCUUGUUGGUGAGGUAAUGGCCCACCAAGGCGAUUACAGGUACGGGCUCUGAGAGGAGAGGCCCGGAGAUGGGUACUGAGACAAGGACCCAGGCCCUAUGGGGCGCAGCAGGCGAGAAAACUUUGCAAUGUGCGAAAGCACGACAAGGUUAAUCCGAGUGAUUUCUGCUAAAGGAAUCUUUUGUUAGUUCUAAAAAUACUAGUGAAUAAGGGGUGGGCAAGUUCUGGUGUCAGCCGCCGCGGUAAAACCAGCACCUCAAGUGGUCAGGAGGAUUAUUGGGCCUAAAGCAUCCGUAGCCUGUUCUAUAAGUUUGCGGUUAAAUCUAUACGCUCAACGUAUAGGCUGCCGUAAAUACUGUAGAACUAGGGAGUGGGAGAGGUAGACGGUACUCGAUAGGAAGGGGUAAAAUCCUUUGAUCUAUUGAUGACCACCUGUGGCGAAGGCGGUCUACCAGAACACGUUCGACGGUGAGGGAUGAAAGCUGGGGGAGCAAACCGGAUUAGAUACCCGGGUAGUCCCAGCUGUAAACGAUGCAGACUCGAUGAUGCAAUGGCAUAGAGCUAUUGCAGUAUCGCAGGGAAGCCGUUAAGUUUGCCGCCUGGGAAGUACGUACGCAAGUAUGAAACUUAAAGGAAUUGGCGGGGGAGCACCACAAGGGGUGAAGCCUGCGGUUCAAUUGGAGUCAACGCCGGGA